rnacentral:rRNA from 1 species
AAUAUUGGACACUGGGGGCAACCCUGAUUCAGCCACGCCGCGUGUGUGAAGAAGGUCUUCGGAUUGUGAAGCACUUUAAGUUGGGAGGAAGGGCUUUAGGUUAAUACCGUGAAGUUUUACCGUUACCAAGGGAAUAAGUCCCGGCGAAGUCUGUCCCAGCAGCCGCGGUAAUACAGGGGGUGCAAGCGUUAAUCGGAAUUACUGGGCGUAAAGCGAGCGUAGGUGGUUCAGUAAGAUGGGUGUGAAAUCCCCGGGCUUAACCUGGGAACUGCUUUCAUAACUGCUGAGCUAGAGUACGGUAGAGGGUAGUGGAAUUUCCUGUGUAGCGGUGAAAUGCGUAGAUAUAGGAAGGAACACCAGUGGCGAAGGCGACUACCUGGACUGAUACUGACACUGAGGUGCGAAAGCGUGGGGAGCAAACA